rnacentral:rRNA from 1 species
UUCCGGUAGGGGGGACCUGCGGAAGGAUCAUUACCGAGUGAGGGCCCUCUGGGUCCAACCUCCCACCCGUGUUUAUUUUACCUUGUUGCUUCGGCGGGCCCGCCUUAACUGGCCGCCGGGGGGCUUACGCCCCCGGGCCCGCGCCCGCCGAAGACACCCUCGAACUCUGUCUGAAGAUUGUAGUCUGAGUGAAAAUAUAAAUUAUUUAAAACUUUCAACAACGGAUCUCUUGGUUCCGGCAUCGAUGAAGAACGCAGCGAAAUGCGAUACGUAAUGUGAAUUGCAAAUUCAGUGAAUCAUCGAGUCUUUGAACGCACAUUGCGCCCCCUGGUAUUCCGGGGGGCAUGCCUGUCCGAGCGUCAUUGCUGCCCUCAAGCACGGCUUGUGUGUUGGGCCCCGUCCUCCGAUCCCGGGGGACGGGCCCGAAAGGCAGCGGCGGCACCGCGUCCGGUCCUCGAGCGUAUGGGGCUUUGUCACCCGCUCUGUAGGCCCGGCCGGCGCUUGCCGAUCAACCCAAAUUUUUAUCCAGGUGACCUCGGAUCAGGUAGGGAUACCCGCUGAACUUAAGCAUAUCAAUAAACGGAGGAACCGA